UACGUAGGGUGCGAGCGUUAAUCGGAAUUACUGGGCGUAAAGCGUGCGCAGGCGGUUUGUUAAGCCAGAUGUGAAAGCCCCGGGCUCAACCUGGGAACUGCGUUUGGUACUGGCAAGCUAGAGUACGGCAGAGGGGGGUGGAAUUCCACGUGUAGCAGUGAAAUUCGUAGAUAUUCGGAAGAACACCGGUGGCGAAGGCGGGUCUCUGGGCCGAUACUGACACUGAGGAGCGAAAGCGUGGGGAGCGAACAGG
rnacentral:rRNA from 1 species